CUCAACAAAUGAUCAAUAAAGCAAAACAUCAACAACCAGGAGCAACCAACCAGCAGAUCAACUGGAUCAGUGAGGGGAGCUCCAACAGAGGGGGACAGCAUCAUCAAGCAGCAGCACAUCAGCAGGCACAAAACUAUGAACUUGAUGCAGUGGCACAAG